UCUGUCUGUGGUUGUAGUUUGCGCUGUCUCAUCCUGUUGCCUUACUGUUCCAUAUGUGUUUAUUGGAUUUUCUCUGUUGGAUCACCUGCUUUGUUUGCUCCUGUAUGAUUUUGGAUUCCCUGGACUCAGCCACUCUUUAUGGAGUAUUCUCAGUCCAACAUGGGCAAGAAAUUGAAAUGCUCAGAAAAAAAGGGAAACUUGAACAUCUACAAUUCCAUCUACAAGUCAUGAAGACCUCGUGAAUAACAACUUAAUUAAGUUGUGCAUGAUCAUGGAGACACAACACAACAGAUGAAUUUAUCUGCAGCCUGGCAGACAGCAGUCCUUCUGGUCAUGUAUUGAAUGAUGGCGCCAUCUACUGCUACUCUCCUGGAAGAGCAACUGGUGCCAAAGUUCUUUGGUUUAUUUCCACUUCGUAGUGGUCAGAUAAAUUGCGAAGAACACAGUUUCACACAGAUGUGGGAUAUAUUUGGAGUUUGUCUUUUCAGAAUAAAAUCAUAUUUAUAUAUUGUAUAUAGUGUGAA